rnacentral:rRNA from 1 species
CAGUCGCCGCGGUAAUACGAAGGGGGCUAGCGUUGUUCGGAAUUACUGGGCGUAAAGCGCACGUAGGCGGAUAUUUAAGUCAGGGGCGAAAUCCCGCAGCUCAACUGCGGAACUGCCUUUGAUACUGGGUAUCUUGAGUAUGGAAGAGGUAAGUGGAAUUGCGAGUGUAGAGGUGAAAUUCGUAGAUAUUCGCAGGAACACCAGUGGCGAAGGCGGCUUACUGGUCCAUUACUGACGCUGAGGUGCGAAAGCGUGGGGAGCAAACAGGAUUAGAUACCCCUGUAGUCCCUGUCUCUUAUAC